rnacentral:lncRNA from 1 species
GAGAAACACUGUCUCAAAAACAAACAAACAAACAAACAAACAAAAAAUACUUGAAUAUAUUAAGAUGAAAAUACUAGAAAUGAGCCAAUGAGCAAAAGCAGUGGGUGCUGCCAGCUUCCAUUUACUUGAGCUUUGCUGUUGAACUUCUCUGGAUCCUCACAGGCAGACAAGAGACCCAAUUCUAUGGCCUAUUCCCCUUGUGGAUGGGAUCCCUCAGCUAGUCUAGGUCAAGACUGUGAUGUGUGACUAUCUGAUUGUAAAUGCUGGACUCCUCGGACUCUUAUUUUCCUCAUCCUGAAACAGUCACCACUAGUGCUGCAGUAGGUGGCUUCUCCAUCACCCCGGAACAAGAGCUAGGUCGUGGCUAUCUUAAGACACUGUGGUGCUAGAAUUGCUUAUUGACUGACAGCUGUCAUCACCGGAGAGGAAGGAAGGACAGGUGUGAGGUUUGUUUCACACCUGCAAUAGAAGAAAAUGGAAAAUGUGAAGAUCUUUAGAGAUGGAGAACACGUGAAGUUAGCAAAUGAUGAUGAUCAUCUCACAACACUCUUAUUCAAGCAGGCUUUUCAGUGGAAUGGAGCCUGGAAGCUUCACUGCAGGGGUGCUGGCCUGCAGAUCUACAGGUCAUCUGGUACAAAGCUGGGCAAGCUCCUUCCUUCUAGAAGGCUGGUGGGUUCCUCAGAUGGACCAGCUGCCUUUCUCUUCCUUCCCCCUCCACACAGUUUACACAAACUGGUUUGAUUGCCGGGGGAUAAGAAUUGGAUGGAGACUGGCCUUUCCAGAUCUCUAGUGACAUAAUGCCGGAGACAGGACACUAAAAAUAAACAAAUGAUCCCAGCCCAAAGCAAAAGUAGGACAACAAUUUACCAACAUGAGAGAACAAAUGCUUGAUAGAGUUCUGACAAGAAGGAUGUAUUUAGGAAGAUAAAACCUGGCUUACAAGAAUGAAGCAGAAAUUGAUUUUCCAUAUGGGGCCUACCAAUGUGGAGAUUAGCACAAAGAAAAAGAGGACUAAAAAGGCGACGAGUCCACUUCUUGUUCCAACAAUCUGCCCAUGUCCAUGGCUCCCUCCCUGUCGGGAAUUAUGAGAAGGAAAAAAUGAGAAACACAAAAAGAAAGGGUCUAUUUUUGAGCUCUCUUUACACAUGUAGAAACCUAAUUUUAAAAUUCUUGUGUUUGGGGGCAGGUGUGCUUCCACACAUCUCUAAUCCUAGGACUAGAAGGGAAAAGGCAGGAAAAUCUGUGAGUUCAAGGCCAACCAGGGCUCCCUCAGGAGACUUUAUCAUAAAAAAAAAUAAAUAAAAGGCUUUUUCAUGUGGUUACUUAAAGUUGUAUUUGAGAUAAUUAUUUCAGUAAUUGAAAUUUUGUUUCUUUGUCCAUUUUUAAAAUAUUUUAUAAAGCUUUUGGGAAUUUCCUACAGUAUGCUUUGACCAUAUUGCUGAAGGUACCAUAUAUAUUAGUCAUAGAGAAUGGAAAAUUCAAAUUGGUUCUGCCCAGGAAGCUUGCUCCCUGCUAGCUAGAUUUCAUGGUAUGGGAAGAUUCUAUGCAGACCUCUGUGGGCAGAAAGGAAGAAAGACAGUAGUCUUAUCCAGCUGGAAACCCUGGGAACUACCGUAAUGACCAACACGGGAAAGAUCACCCAUGGGUACAAUAGUGGCAGAAAUGUUACAUGAUGGCAACUGCUUACUGAUAUAUGUACAUCUUGCCAAGAGUCCACCGUUAAGGGACUCACAGUGAAACUAUACUACUUGGCUAAAUGGACAUCAUAUCAAAACUGCCCUCUAAAUUCAUAUGGUAAUGUUUAAAUAUAAAAUGUACUCACCAAUGCUUUGACCUGAAAGUAUUAAUUGUGCGGUUUUUUUUCUUCUUCUUUAUUAUUGAAAGAAGAGGCCCAAUGCAGUAAAAGUAAAUUUUCUUAGCAACCUUCUGUCAGAAGAAGAGAAAUCUUCACACCUCAGACAAAGGCACUCCCAGGGUGUAUACUCGAGUUUUGAUGGAGCUGCAUAUAAAUCACAGGAACACAAUGAUCACUCUGAGUCAGAGUUUAAAUCUGCCACUUCUGUCUUUCUUUAUCCACUAACCAUGAAUCCAGAGCUCCUGUUGGCUGUAUUUCAUAGAGACAGAGAUGCUUGAAUCGCCAAAUGGAUGAAGCAAAGGUCACACAAGUGGUUGCAUGGUUAGAUCCAUCCAACAAAGUAUCCUGGUGUCCUGAGAGCACAGACUUUGCGUCAGCUCUCAACAAAGGCUCCUGUGUUUUUAACAGCUGCUUAAUUAAGCACUUAGCUACAGAUUGUCAUGCCUUAUAUUUGGUGCUGCUGUUUGCUCCUGUGUACUUGGGAAUAAAUUCUUCACCAUUGUUGCAUCUCAAAGUUUUUCAUCUAUAGGAAGAGAAUUGGGAGACCUGUUUUCUAAGGUUAUUAGAAUCAUGUGUAUGUGUGUGUAUGUAUACAUAUACAUAUUUAUGUAUAUAUAUAUAUGUGUGUGUGCAUAUAUAUAUGUAUGUAUAUAUACAUAUAUAUGUAUAUAUACAUACAUAUAAUGUACACCAUUACCAUUAACCUGAUUUCUUAGAAUUUUUUUCUCUUUAAAUUUGUAUUGUGAAUUCUCAGAAUACUGACUUUGUGCUGCAGUCUUUUCCUUUCUUUUCCUGUGGUGCAUAUAAGGGAAGGAGGAGUGUCACACAUGCCAGGCAAGCACACGUGCUGCUGCUCAGUUUUCGGUCAACUUGACACAUCAACCUACCGGAGAACUUAAAAUGUAGAAUUACCUCCAUCAGAUUGGCCAGUGGGCAUGUCUACAGGGAAUUAAUUAUUGAUGUGGGAGGAUCUAGCCUACUUUGCACAGUGCCACCUCUGGGCAGGUACAUGGUCCUGGAAUAUAUAAAAAAAAAGCAAGCUAAGCAUGCUUCCAGUUAUAGGCCAGGAAGCAAAUCCCCCCUCCCCCACCCCCAUGGCCUGUGCUUAGUCCCUGUCUCCAGGAUCCUGUCUUGAGCUCCGGGCCUGGAUUCUCUUGAAGAUGAACUGCAACCCCUUCCUCCCCAAGUUGAACAGAAACGGAACAAGAAUAGCAUCCUACUGCUGCUGGCAUCUCUGAGGAUAAGUUCAUUAUUCAGACUAUGAUUUGGAUUAGUGUUUUUUUUUCAUUCCUCACACUGCACGAUAGAGUCAUCGCUCAUCACAGAAAUGCUUCAUACAUCUCCAAUACAACCAUUUAAAUAGGUCUUGAAUCAUAGCACUUGAGAAAAAUGAAAACAUUCCAACCAAUUGAUUGGAAUUGUUAAACUGAUGACUACAAUUUUGAGGAUUUUUUUAAUAUAUAUAUAUCAAGUGAUGAUGGCAGUAUUGUAUAGACUGUUCAAAACAAGAAAAAUCACAACCUUCUGAAGUCUUAGAAUAAUUAUUGUUGUUGUUAGAGAAAAGGGCCUUUAAGAUAAAUAACUUUCAUAUUACAGAUAGGAUUUAUUUACUACUAAAGUGGACCACACAAGAAUCCAGCUCUCUCAUUGAGCAAGGUAGGGUUUCGAGAACCCCUAGCUAUCUCAGACCAUGGAUCCUCUUGCAUGGCUGAUGAGUUGGGGGACAGAAACCUUUAGAAAACAUUUGGAUCCAGAAACCAGACUCCUCACCAUCUCCCUAAGUUGCUUCUCAAAACAUGAUAAUGUCUUAUGCCUGGCUGCGUGGGACUUUAGAGAUCUUACACUGACUUUCACCAGUCUGCAUUACUAUUCAUAAAUGUGAAGCAGAGGACAGUUAAAUAGUCUGCUCAAGGUUCUACACUUCCAUAUUUCUCUCAACAUCAUAGCUCACUCUUGUUGAGAUUCACAUCUAGGGUUUAUACAGAAUAAUGAGGAAGUCCUGACAUUUUUUAAUUGAAGGCCUGAUAAAAGAAUCAAUUUGAUCUUGAAUUUUUAUCUCAUGUCUAGGAGU